CGCGGAGAUACCACCCGCACGUAUAGAUGGACAAGAAUAGGCUUCGGCUUAGCGUCUUAGCAGGCGAUUCUUCCACGGCGCUCGAAGCGCGUCGUGGUAUUUCGCGUAUUGUAAUUUCAACACGAGCGGGGUCAAAUCCUUUGCAGACGACUUAGCUGUGCGAAACGGUCCUGUAAGCAGUAGAGUAGCCUUGUUGUUACGAUCUGCUGAGGGUAAGCCGUCCUUCGCCUCGAUUUCCCCAAUGGGUUCUCCGGAUUUCUGGAGACUUGUAGGGGUUGUGGGUUUUUUCGAUGUGUCGUCUCCGGACGGGCGGUGCAGGGUAGUCGAGUUAGACUUGGUGGAAUUCGAUUCCGUCGAGUAUGGCUGGCACGAUCGUGUGCGGUUGUGUGUUGGACGGUGCAGGGUAGGCUGCUUGGACAUGGUCGGUUCGAGGAUCGAUUCGAGGGCCGGCCUGUCGAUGAUGUGUGAUGUAUGCGGUCUAGGGUAGGCUGGUUUGUCUUGGUCCAAUUUGAUGUCGGCUCCCGUGCAGGCUAGAGUGAGGGGGGUCCAGGGUAGGUACAGGGUAGGCAGCUUAGAUUUGGUCGAUCUGGAGGUCGAUUCUCCGGCUGGUGGAUCUGACCCUGUCGAAACGAGAUGCGAGCGGUGUAGGGUAGGCUAGUUUCGUCCUCGCCAGGUUGCGAUUUGGACGAGAUAUGUGGUCUAGGGUAGGCUCUAGGGUAAGUAGAAUUCGAGUUUCGUCGCCGACAGUUUUCUGUGGGUGUAUGGUAGGUACAGGGUAGCAAAACUCUCUCCGGCCAGUACUUGUCUGGUGGUCGUGAGUCGAUUUUUUUGUUUUGCCAUACUAUUGAAUUUUGCGGAAAUUCAAAAGUGGCUCGGGAGUCCCGCCUGGCGUGCGUCCGACUCGAACAUCGUCGGUGUACAUAUGAGAGGGAGUAAUCCGGCCCGGCCGGGGCCCAUCGCGAGCUGCCGGGUAGGUAAAAGUAAAAAAGUUGUAAAGAGGCGCGGUGUCGGCAUGCUUGUAUUUGCGGGAGAGAAUUAUCUGGAGGUGCUGGGUAGCCGGGAAGACUUGGACGGAUC
rnacentral:misc_RNA from 1 species